AAACGAAAGGAAAAAGAUUAUGCAAGUUGUUAUUGGCAGGAUAAUAGCUCACUGUUGGGAUUACAACACCAUUGAAAAGAUAACCCUCAUUUUUUAAUUCUGUGAAAUCUCAUGAGAAAAAAAUAAAGGCAAAUGAAGCUCAGAUGUUUAGAAUGCACUGGAGCCGUACAUGUUUAGAAUACAGAGGAAUUUGAAAUAAAAACAGAAAUGUUUACACUUUAAGUUCAAAUCCUCAAAGGGAAUUAAUAACUGAAUUUAGCCUUCUCUCCAUUCAGUAGAUCCUGUAGGUUCUGUUUAACUGGAAUGGAAAUAGACACUUCACAAAGGUGAACCAAAGCAUGUUGUCUCAACACCUAAUAUAGACUUAGCCAUUGUGAUGCAAUGUUUCUGUCAUAAAUAAUUAAUGUAUUCACAGCAGCACUAUAGGUACUGAUGGCUCAGGUUCCUAUGAGAUGUCUUUAACUAUUGAUGAAGGAUGAACUCUCAUAGAGAUUAUAACCAUCGCUAUAAUUGUUGUUUAUAUUGUCAGCUGGGCAGCCUGUGAAUUAAAGCUGCACAAGCAGAGGAAAGAAGACAGUGGAAGCUGUACGGCCAUCUGAAAGCCUGGGCAUUUCCUCUGAGGAGCAGCUAGCAGCUGGCAUGCAGCUAGCAGGAUAAACUGGGUGGCUCCAUGUUCUGCUAAAAAUUGAAGACAAUGGAUGUUGGUGGACAACUAGCAGCGUUUCUGCCAAGCUGGCUCAAUUAGACUAAAGGGAAAGACUUAGUCUAUAAGCUUGUUUCUCUUUCCUCUCACGCUGGAUAUGAAUAAGAAAGCAAGUAAUCCUAGUCACAGCCAUCUUUAAGGGAGAGGAAAAUAAAUUUCCAUUUUGUUUGAGACAACUUAUAAGCAUAAAAAGACCCAGUCUUAAAAGGAAACUGAUACUGUGGACAGCAGAGCAGACAGAACCCGAGCUCCUACUGACAAGACUGAGCCGCUGCAUCCACCCACCAAGAAGCCUGCUUUAACCUCUACAUGACCUACUUUCUGGGAGAAAAGAUGCCCUUAUCGUUUAAGCCACUUUGGUUCAGUCUCUUUUUCCUGUAGUUGAAAAUAUCUUAAUAGAAUUCCUUACAGGCCUCCCGACGCGCACAAUCUCUGUUAUAAUCGCCCUCAGCAAUCUCUUCUCCUUCACAGCACUUAUUACGAUUUUGAAUCAUCGAUUUGUUACCUGUUUGAAGUCUAUCCGUGCACUAGGCUAUGGGCCAUGAGAGUUGAGACUAGAUCUGUUUUGUUCACUACUGUACACCUAGUAAAUGGAACAGGAUGCUUGGCACACAGGAGGCUUGUAAGUAAAUGGUAGCUAUCAUAAAAAUGAUGUAGACAAUAAGCCUCACUCAUUCAAAGAGAUCGCUUCUCGCAGAGGCAGAGCCACGGUCACGGGAAGCAAUGGCGGAGGACAGCUUGGGGAAUCACCCUCUCCUUUAUUCUUCAGGUUUUUGUCAUAUACUAUUUAUUAUUUCAGCCAUAUCUGACAUCUGUUUUGUAGCUUUGGUGUGACCUCAAAUUUGAAUAUGGGACCACUUCUAUCUAGAGCUUGGUCUGAAAAGGAGUGAUGGCAGAGCUGAGAGCACAGAUGACAGUCACAGCUGCAGCUUCUGUGGUUGUGCUGUGGCUUUCAUUCGGGCAUCCCAGGAGUGCUGAGUGCAGAAACAGGACCAGACGAGUUCGAACAGCCUCUUCUGUCACAUUAGUGUUGAAGCAAGGUCUUCCCAAACAGCCAAGACCUUGACUUCUGAUCUGCAGAGGCCAUCCUAUGCACAUGCAGCCUUCAGACACAUGGCUUUCCUCCUAGGCAUGUUUCUGGAUAAGUUUUCUUUUUUCCUACUCUUUUCCCCACCUCCCAAACCUUUCUGCCAUUCUUUUACGUCAGGUAAUAGAAAAUAAUUUAAAUAAUUAACUUAAUAUGUUCAUAUCUACAGGUAACCUCUAAAGUCUUUUACAUUCCACUCUGAAAUGUACUUUUAAAGUCUUCUUUCUGAUUCAUACACUUGGUGUUUCUUCCUAUUACCUAUGGCAUUAAAUUUUAAUUAAUAUUUAUCUCAAUGCUCUAUCUAAAUGUGAUUACUACAUAAAAGUUUGGGGAAAAAAGUGUAAGCAUGACAUUGAUAGCAUGUCCAAGUCUUUACUUUCAAAAUAUUUUUUUAGAUAAAACUGUUUGACUUUUAGCAACAACGAUACUACCAGCUGUCAUUUACUGAGUCCCUUCACUAUUC